GCAGCUUGGGGAUGGACCUAUUCCUCCGCAGCUGCCCCUGUACAUUCAGUCCUGCCACUCCAAGACUCAAAUCCAGCUCUGGUGGUGCUGGUGUCAGGUGUAAGGGGGAAGAGGGAAUGUGAGCUCUAGAAGAAUUAACAGGGGCAGUGGCCUCACCAGCAAAUCCUCUGUCAGGGCAUGAGGACAAGAAUCUAAUCAGAGAGACACCGAGCCCCUUCUGGUCAAGCACUGCCAUGGGCUGCAGGCUCCUGUGCUGGGUGGUCCUCUGUAUGCUGUGGGCAGUCUCCACGGGCAAUGGAGUUACCCAGACACCAAAACAUCUGGUAAGCGGGACAGGAAGGAGCGUGACCCUGAAGUGCAAGCAGCAUCUGGGACAUAAUGCUAUGUACUGGUAUAAGCAGAGUGUUCAGAAGCCGCCAAAGCUCAUGCUUGCCUACAGUUAUAAGGAUCUCCUUCAAAAUGAGACUGCUUCCAGUCGGUUCUUACCUGAUCGCUCAAACAACUCCCAGCUGGACCUUCAGAUAAAAGCCCUGGAGCCCGAGGACUCCGCCCUGUAUCUCUGUGCCAGCAGCAAGGACACAGCCCUGCACCUUCAACUUCUCCCUGUGCACAAACCUCCGGGCUCCAAACCAGGAAGCUGUGGGGGCCACCAACGCUCAGCUCAACAUUUCCUAGAGGACCCCAGAGAUCCCAGAGCCUCCUGCUGCCUGUAG